rnacentral:lncRNA from 1 species
GACCUGAAAAAUCAAUUGUUGGCUGACACAUUAUAUUUUUCUAGGAUAUAUUUUUAUAUUUGAUUUAUUAAAAUUAAUAAAAUAGAUAUUUUUUAUUAUCCAAUCAUGUCUAAUGUAUCUAUGAAUCAUCGAAGGAGUUAAUAGACAAUGAUACAUAUUCUCAAAAGUUAAAAAUUUGAGACAUAUGUCAUUAUAGAUUAACUCCUGAAUUACUCUCGAUCAUUGAAUUAUCACGAAAAUGAUGAUUGAUCCAUCA